rnacentral:tRNA from 1 species
GGCGACUUAGCUCAGCUGGUAGAGCAGUGGCCUGAAGAGCCUCGUGUCGCUGGUUCGAGUCCAGCAGUCGCCACCA